rnacentral:rRNA from 1 species
UACGAAGGGAGCAAGCGUUGUUCGGAUUUACUGGGCGUAAAGGGUGUGUAGGCGGUUUUGCAAGUUGGAUGUGAAAGCCCUGGGCUUAACUCAGGAAUUGCAUUCAAGACUGCAUCACUAGAGUAUGGAAGAGGUUGGUGGAAUUCCUAGUGUAGAGGUGAAAUUCGUAGAUAUUAGGAAGAACACCCGUGGCGAAGGCGGCCAACUGGUCCAUAACUGACGCUGAGACACGAAAGCGUGGGGAGCAAACAGG